rnacentral:rRNA from 1 species
UGCUGAAAACCCUGACUUCGGAAAGGGUGUAUUUAUUAGAUAAAAAACCAAUGCCCUUUGGGCUCUUUGGUGAUUCAUGAUAACUUAACGGAUCGCAUGGCCUUGCGCCGGCGACGGUUCAUUCAAAUUUCUGCCCUAUCAACUUUCGAUGGUAAGGUAUUGGCUUACCAUGGUUUCAACGGGUAACGGGGAAUUAGGGUUCGAUUCCGGAGAGGGAGCCUGAGAAACGGCUACCACAUCCAAGGAAGGCAGCAGGCGCGCAAAUUACCCAAUCCCGACACGGGGAGGUAGUGACAAUAAAUACUGAUACAGGGCUCUUUUGGGUCUUGUAAUCGGAAUGAGUACAAUUUAAACCUCUUAACGAGGAACAAUUGGAGGGCAAGUCUGGUGCCAGCAGCCGCGGUAAUUCCAGCUCCAAUAGCGUAUAUUAAAGUUGUUGCAGUUAAAAAGCUCGUAGUUGAAUCUUGGGCCUGGCUGGCCGGUCCGCCUCACCGCGUGUACUGGUCUGGCCGGGCCUUUCCUUCUGGAGAACCUCAUGCCCUUCAGUGGGUGUGUUGGGGAACCAGGACUUUUACUUUGAAAAAAUUAGAGUGUUCAAAGCAGGCCUUUGCUCGAAUACGUUAGCAUGGAAUAAUAGAAUAGGACGUGCGGUCCUAUUUUGUUGGUUUCUAGGACCGCCGUAAUGAUUAAUAGGGAUAGUCGGGGGCAUCAGUAUUCAAUUGUCAGAGGUGAAAUUCUUGGAUUUAUUGAAGACUAACUACUGCGAAAGCAUUUGCCAAGGAUGUUUUCAUUAAUCAGUGAACGAAAGUUAGGGGAUCGAAGACGAUCAGAUACCGUCGUAGUCUUAACCGUAAACUAUGCCGACUAGGGAUCGGGCGAUGUUUCUAUCUUGACU